rnacentral:rRNA from 1 species
GACGAACGCUGGCGGCGUGCUUAACACAUGCAAGUCGAACGGAAAGGCCCUGCUUUUGUGGGGUGCUCGAGUGGCGAACGGGUGAGUAACACGUGAGUAACCUGCCCGCGACUGUGGGAUAACUUCAGGAAACUGGGGCUAAUACCGGAUAGGAGCUCCUGCUGCAUGGUGGGGGUUGGAAAGUUUCGGCGGUUGGGGAUGGACUCGCGGCUUAUCAGCUUGUUGGUGGGGUAGUGGCUUACCAAGGCUUGGACGGGUAGCCGGCCUGGGAGGGUGACCGGCCACGUUGGGACUGGGAUGCGGCCCGGACUCCUACGGGAGGCAGCAGUGGGGUAUGUUGCACAAUGGGCGGAAGCCUGAUGCAGCAACGCCGCGUGCGGGAUGACGGCAUUCGGUUUGUUAUCCGCUUUCGCCUGUGACGAAGCGUGAGUGACGGUAAUGGGUAAAGAAGCACCGGCUAACUACGUG